rnacentral:rRNA from 1 species
GACGAACGCUGGCGGCGCGCUUAACACAUGCAAGUCGAACGGAAAGGCCCUGCUGUUGUGGGGUGCUCGAUUGGCGAACGGGUGAGUAACACGUGAUUAACCUGCCCUUGACUUUGGGAUAACUUCAGGAAACUGGGGCUAAUACCGGAUAGGAGCUCCUGCUGCUUGGUGGGGGUUGGUAAGUGUCGGCGGUUGGGGAUGGACUCGCGGCUUAUCAGCUUGUUGGUGGGGUAGUGGCUUACCAAGGCUUUGACGGGUAGCCGGCCUGAGAGGGUGACCGGCCACAUUGGGACUGAGGUACGGCCCAGACUCCUACGGGAGGCAGCAGUGGGGAAUAUUGCACAAUGGGCGGAAGCCUGAUGCAGCGACGCCGCGUGCGGGAUGACGGCCUUCGGGUUGUAAACCGCUUUCGCCUGUGACGAAGCGUGAGUGACGGUAAUGGGUAAAGAAGCACCGGCUAACUACGUG